UUGGCUUAGAAGCAGCCACUCAUUCAAAGAGUGCGUAAUAGCUCACUGGUCGAGUGAUCCUGCGCCGAAGAUUUCCGGGGCUAAAACUUACUACCGAAGCUACGGCAUCAGUAAUGAUGGGUAGGGGAGCUUCCCAUACGGGUUGAAGCAUGACCGUAAGGACAUGUGGACAGGAUGGGAGUGAGAAUGUUGGCAUGAGUAGCGAGAUGUGGGUGGGAAUCCCACAGGCCGUAAACCCAAGGUUUCCAGGGGAAGGUUCGUCC
rnacentral:rRNA from 1 species